rnacentral:rRNA from 1 species
AGCGAACGCUGGCGGCAGGCCUAACACAUGCAAGUCGAACGAACUCUUCGGAGGUAGUUGCGGACGGGGGAGGAACACGGCGGAACGUGCCUGUUUGCUCGGAAUAACUCAGUUUAACUUGGGCUAAUACCGAGUGUGUCCCGCUGAGACAAGAUUUAUCGCCCUUAGAGAAGCACGCGUCUGUUUAGCCUGCUGGGGAGGUAACGGCUCACGAAGGCGACGAUCGGUAGCGGGUCUGAGAGGAUGACCAGCCACACUGGGAAUGAGCUGCGGCCCGGAAUCUUACGGGAGGCAGGCGUGGGGAAUCUUGCGAAAUCGGCGGAAGGAUGACGGAGCCCUGCUGCGUGAAUGAUGAAGUUCGUAGGAUUGUACAGCUGUUUAACCGGGGACGAUUCUGACUGUACCCGGAGAAGAAGCCCCGGCUAACUUCGUG